rnacentral:misc_RNA from 1 species
ACUAUGUCGAGAAAGCCACCGAGACGCUGGUGGAAUCGCUGCGCACCAACGACCAGCGGGUCCGCGCCUUCCGCCUGAUGCAGAUGAAGGCCGCGAUCCGGUUCUGCGAGGUGAUGUUCGGCCCGGAUUACGCGUCGCUCAUGAGCAAGGCCGCCGAAAUGGCGCGGCCGGUCGAGCGCAAGGCGGCCGAGACCGCAAAGCCCGCCAAGCAGCCGCGCGCCGGUUGAUCUGGCGCUCUGCGGUUUAUUCCCAGAAUA